UACAGAGGGGGCAAGCGUUGUUCGGAAUUACUGGGCGUAAAGGGCGCGUAGGCGCCUUCUAAGUCGAACGUGAAAUCCCCGGGCUCAACCCGGGAACUGCGUCCGAGACUGGAAGGCUUGAAUCCGGGAGAGGGAUGUGGAAUUCCAGGUGUAGCGGUGAAAUGCGUAGAUAUCUGGAGGAACAUCGGUGGCGAAGGCGGCAUCCUGGACCGGUAUUGACGCUGGGGCGCGAAAGCCAGGGGAGCAAACGGG
rnacentral:rRNA from 1 species